GGGCCCUUAGCUCAAUGGUUAGAGCAGGGCACUCAUAAUGCCUUGGUUGCAGGUUCGAGCCCUGCAGGGCCCA
rnacentral:tRNA from 1 species